rnacentral:rRNA from 1 species
CCUACGGGGGGCUGCAGUGGGGAAUAUUGGACAAUGGGGGCAACCCUGAUCCAGCCAUGCCGCGUGUGCGAAGAAGGCCCUCGGGUUGUAAAGCACUUUCAGUGAGGAAGAACGCCUGGUGGUUAAUACCCAUCAGGAAAGACAUCACUCACAGAAGAAGCACCGGCUAACUCCGUGCCAGCAGCCGCGGUAAUACGGAGGGUGCGAGCGUUAAUCGGAAUUACUGGGCGUAAAGCGCGCGUAGGUGGCUUGAUAAGCCGGUUGUGAAAGCCCCGGGCUCAACCUGGGAACGGCAUCCGGAACUGUCAAGCUAGAGUGCAGGAGAGGAAGGUAGAAUUCCCGGUGUAGCGGUGAAAUGCGUAGAGAUCGGGAGGAAUACCAGUGGCGAAGGCGGCCUUCUGGACUGACACUGACACUGAGGUGCGAAAGCGUGGGUAGCAAACAGGAUUAGAUACCCCAGUAGUC